UAAACUGUGUUGUACAAGCCCUAAAGCAAU
rnacentral:piRNA from 1 species